rnacentral:rRNA from 1 species
AUUAUUUAAUUAUUAGCUUCUUUUAUAGAAUUAUCUUUUUCAAAUUAUUUUUAUAGAAUAGGUUUAUGUUAUUAUAGUUUAUUAGUAAAGUGUUUGAAUUUUUAUUUUAUUUUAGAAGAAUAAUUUAUUUUUUGUAUCUUGUGUAUCAGAGUUGAUUUAAUAAAGAUUAUUUAUUUAAUAUUUUCUCGAAUUAUUAAGGUUUAAUAGGUUAUUAUUUUUUAUGUUGAAUAAUAAUUUUUAAUUUCCUGUUGGUAAUGAAACGUUAUUCGUUUAAUAGUAUAUCUAGUUUUUUAAUAAAGAAGUUUAAUUUCAUUUCUUUUUUUUUAAUUUAAUUUUUUUUUAUUUUAAUUUAAUAAGAAGUAUAUUUUCAAUGGGUUUAGCUAUUGAAAUUAAUUUUAAAAAUUUAAUUAUUUUUAAUUGAUUGUAUGAUUGAUAUUUUUAAUCUAUAUUAUAAUUUAUUAUUUGUUUUUUGGUAUUUUUUAUUUUUUUUUGUUUUUAGUUUAUUUAUUUUAAUGUUUAUUUUAAUUUUUUUUUUUUUGUAAUUAUUAUUAAAUUAGUAAUUUUAGUUUUUAUAUAUCUAUUAUUUUAUAGUUAGGUUUUGUAAAGGAAUUCGGCAAUUAUAUUUUUUGCCUGUUUAAUAAAAACAUGUCUUUUUGAUUAUAAUUUAAGGUUUAAUCUGCUCAAUGAUUAUUAAAUUGCCGCGGUAUUUUGACUGUGCAAAGGUAGCAUAAUAAUUAGUUUUUUUAUUAAAAACUUGUAUGAAUGAUUGGACAAGAGAAUUUCUGUCUCUAUAGAAAUUUAUUUUGAAUUUAACUUUUAAGUGAAAAGGCUUAAAUUUUUUUAUUGGACGAGAAGACCCUUUAGAGUUUAAUUUUUAAAGAUAAUUAAUUUUUAGAUUAAUUUUUUUUUAAUAUUAAUUUGGUUGGGGUGAUUGGAUGAUUAAAAAAAUUCUUCUUAAAUUAAAUCAUUUAUUUAUGAUUUUCUAAUUCUAGUUUUUUUUAAUUUUAAUAUAAAUUACCUUAGGGAUAACAGCGUAAUUUUUCUUUAGAGCUCAUAUUGAAAGGAAAGUUUGCGACCUCGAUGUUGGAUUAAAAUUAAUUUUUGGUGCAGUAAUUGAAUAAUUAAGUCUGUUCGACUUUUAAAAUUUUACAUGAUCUGAGUUUAAACCGGUGUAAGCCAGGUUGGUUUCUAUCUUUAAUUAAUUUGAAUAUUUUAGUACGAGAGGACCAGAU